rnacentral:rRNA from 1 species
AUUGAACGCUGGCGGCAUGCCUUACACAUGCAAGUCGAACGGCAGCACGGGAGCAAUCCUGGUGGCGAGUGGCGAACGGGUGAGUAAUAUAUCGGAACGUGCCCGGUCGUGGGAAUAACGUAGCGAAAGCUACGCUAAUACCGCAUACGAUCUACGGAUGAAAGCGGGGGAUCGCAAGACCUCGCGCGAUUGGAGCGGCCGAUAUCAGAUUAGGUAGUUGGUGAGGUAAAGGCUCACCAAGCCGACGAUCUGUAGCUGGUCUGAGAGGACGACCAGCCACACUGGGACUGAGACACGGCCCAGACUCCUACGGGAGGCAGCAGUGGGGAAUAUUGGACAAUGGGCGCAAGCCUGAUCCAGCCAUGCCGCGUGAGUGAUGAAGGUCUUAGGAUUGUAAAGCUCUUUCACCGAUGAAGAUAAUGACGGUAGUCGGAGAAGAAGCCCCGGCUAACUUCGUGCCAGCAGCCG